GGGGGUGAUCGGUUUCGACCGUGGAGUCGAUUGCCAGGGAAGCGUGUCGAGGACGCCAGUGACCUCGUAAAUCAUCCGGCAAAACCAUAAAUGCUGACAACAGCUACGCUCUCGCAGCCUAAAUAGUGCUCCGAGCGUGCUGCAUCCUUCGCCUGAGGGGAUGCAGAGCGACAUUGCUAUCAGGCUGGCGCGAAGGCCGUGUCUCAGGGCCAAGCGCGAGAUCUACUGGGGCUCGUCCUUCGCAAGCCUGUUCGUCGGCGUGCGGGGGAUUAAUCCAAAGACGAAAUACACACGUAGAUGCCCUGAUGAUCCGUUUCGCGGCACGCGGGUUCGAUUCCCGCCACCUCCACCA
rnacentral:tmRNA from 1 species